rnacentral:rRNA from 1 species
GCAGCACAGUAAGAGCUUGCUCUUAUGGGUGGCGAGUGGCGGACGGGUGAGGAAUACAUCGGAAUCUACCUUUUCGUGGGGGAUAACGUAGGGAAACUUACGCUAAUACCGCAUACGACCUUCGGGUGAAAGCAGGGGACCUUCGGGCCUUGCGCGGAUAGAUGAGCCGAUGUCGGAUUAGCUAGUUGGCGGGGUAAAGGCCCACCAAGGCGACGAUCCGUAGCUGGUCUGAGAGGAUGAUCAGCCACACUGGAACUGAGACACGGUCCAGACUCCUACGGGAGGCAGCAGUGGGGAAUAUUCGACAAUGGGCGCAAGCCUGAUCCAGCCAUACCGCGUGGGUGAAGAAGGCCUUCGGGUUGUAAAGCCCUUUUGUUGGGAAAGAAAAGCAGUCGGCAAAUACCCGGUUGUUCUGACGGUACCCAAAGAAUAAGCACCGGCUAACUUCGUGCCAGCAGCCGCGGUAAUACGAAGGGUGCAAGCGUUACUCGGAAUUACUGGGCGUAAAGCGUGCGUAGGUGGUUGUUUAAGUCUGUUGUGAAAGCCCUGGGCUCAACCUGGGAAUUGCAGUGGAUACUGGGCGACUAGAGUGUGGUAGAGCGUAGUGGAAUUCCCGGU